UACAGAGGGGGCAAGCGUUGUUCGGAAUUACUGGGCGUAAAGGGCGCGUAGGCGGCCCGCUAAGUCGAACGUGAAAUCCCCGGGCUCAACCCGGGAACUGCGUCCGAUACUGGCGGGCUUGAAUCCGGGAGAGGGAUGCGGAAUUCCGAGUGUAGAGGUGAAAUUCGUAGAUAUUCGGAAGAACACCAGUGGCGAAGGCGACUAACUGGACAUGUAUUGACGCUGAGGUGCGAAAGCGUGGGGAGCAAACAGG
rnacentral:rRNA from 1 species